CAAGCUCUAAGAACAACAAUGGUGCUCUCUGGUUUCAAAUGAUCCCCCAGGCAGAGGGGAGGAGGUAGCCGCGGCCUAUAAACCGGACCUUUAGCACCAGUUUGUGACACGAAGCGGUGCUAAAGAGUUUGCCUCGGCCCAUGGCACUGGCCGGUGCUAAAGGGGACCCUUUAGCACCGGUUGGUAACAAGAACUAGUGCUAAAGGGUCCCUGCUCCGACAGCACCUGUCAGUAGCUGUUGGGCAGACUCCUUUAGCACUGACCCUAC
rnacentral:lncRNA from 1 species